rnacentral:rRNA from 1 species
AGGGAUUGCCUCAGUAACGGCGAGUGAAGCGGCAACAGCUCAAAUUUGAAAUCUGGCUCUUUCAGGGUCCGAGUUGUAAUUUGUAGAGGAUGCUUCGGGUACGGCUCCGGUCUAAGUUCCUUGGAACAGGACGUCGCAGAGGGUGAGAAUCCCGUACGUGACCGGCCUCCACGCCCGUGUGAAGCUCCUUCAACGAGUCGAGUUGUUUGGGAAUGCAGCUCAAAAUGGGUGGUAAAUUUCAUCUAAAGCUAAAUAUUGGCCAGAGACCGAUAGCGCACAAGUAGAGUGAUCGAAAGAUGAAAAGCACUUUGGAAAGAGAGUCAAACAGUACGUGAAAUUGUUGAAAGGGAAGCGCUUGCAAUCAGACUUGCCCGCGGGUGAUCAGCCGGUAUUUUUACCGGUGCACUCGCCCGUGGUCAGGCCAGCAUCGGUUCGGGCGGCUGGAUAAAGUCCCCCGGAAUGUAGCUCCUUUCGGGGAGUGUUAUAGCCGGAGGUGCAAUGCUGCCCGCCUGGACCGAGGACCGCGCUUCGGCUUGGAUGCUGGCGUAAUGGUUGUAAGCGACCCGUCUUGAAACACGGACCAAGGAGUCUAACAUCUAUGCGAGUGUUUGGGUGUCAAACCCAUGCGCGUAAUGAAAGUGAACGGAGGUGAGAACCCUCAAGGGUGCACCAUCGACCGAUCCUGAUGUCUUCGGAUGGAUUUGAGUAAGAGCAUAGCUGUUGGGACCCGAAAGAUGGUGAACUAUGCCUGAAUAGGGUGAAGCCAGAGGAAACUCUGGUGGAGGCUCGCAGCGGUUCUGACGUGCAAAUCGAUCGUCAAAUUUGGGUAUAGGGGCGAAAGACUAAUCGAACCAUCUAGUAGCUGGUUCCUGCGAG